GGCCCACAAACUGAAAUGCUCAUGGAAUUUCCCUUCCUUUGCCAUGCAUGCAAUUGCUGUGACCAACCUAACAUGGCUCUGAAAGAUGCUUACAAUCAUGGACAUGACACCAAUAUUUUCGCAGUACCAAAAGACCCUUGGACUUAGCAUUGGGCUGAAAAGAAGGCUAUCUUCUUAUGGCCUACACGGAUUGGCUCACAAGGCUAAGCUCAGCCCAUUUACAAAGGGACUUGGGUAAAAGAGAGGAGGAGGAAGAAGAAGAGCCAUACAUUAGUUAAGUGGAUAGAGAGUUAGAAGAAUUUGUGAAAUUUGAUUCAUGUCAUUUAGUGUCAUGUCAUGUUGGUUCUAAUUUCUCUCAAUCUUUUUGGUGAUAAUAUUAUUCAGAAAGAAGACAAAUGCAUGUGCCCAAAGAAGAUCUAUAUCCUCGUGGAAGGUGAUGUUUAGAGCCAAAGCCAAAGCCAAAGCCAAAGCCAAAUCCAAAGCCAAAGACAAAACUAAACGUUAGCUUUUUUUUCUCCUAUUUAACGUUUUGUUUCUUUUUCCCAUUGUCUUAUUUACAAAAACCAAAACUAUACAACUUGCUUUUGUGA